UACGGAGGGUGCAAGCGUUAAUCGGAUUUACUGGGCGUAAAGCGCACGCAGGCGGUCUGUUAAGUCAGAUGUGAAAUCCCCGGGCUCAACCUGGGAAGUGCAUUUGAAACUGGCAAGCUAGAGUCUCGUAGAGGGGGGUAGAAUUCCAGGUGUAGCGGUGAAAUGCGUAGAGAUCUGGAGGAAUACCGGUUGCGAAGGCGGCCCCCUGGACCAAGACUGACGCUCAGGUGCGAAAGCGUGGGGAGCAAACAGG
rnacentral:rRNA from 1 species